GUGCUUACUUGGGCAGCACAUAUACUAAAAUUGGAAUGAUACAGAGAAGAUUAGCACAGCCCCUGUGCAAGGACAACAUGCAGAUCUGUGAGGCGUUCACUACAGAA
rnacentral:snRNA from 1 species